rnacentral:rRNA from 1 species
UACUAGAGUAGCACUCGCAUAUCAAUAAGCGGAGGAAAAGAAACUAACAAGGAUUCCCCUAGUAACGGCGAGUGAAGCGGGAAGAGCUCAAAUUUGAAAUCUUAAAGGGUUUCCCUUUACGAAUUGUAGUUUAAAGAAGUGUUUUCUGUUGAGGUUUUGGUAAAAGUUCUUUGGAAUAGGACAGUCAUAGAGGGUGAGAAUCCCGUAUUUGACCCUUACUUUCAACUUUGUGAUACACUUUCAAAGAGUCGGAUUGUUUGGGAAUGCAGUCCAAAAUGGGUGGUAAAUUUCAUCUAAAGCUAAAUAUUGGCGAGAGACCGAUAGCGAACAAGUACCGUGAGGGAAAGAUGAAAAGAACUUUGAAAAGAGAGUUAAACAGUACGUGAAAUUGUCAAAAGGGAAGCGUUUGACACCAGUGUUGUUUUUCUGAAAAUCAAUUAAAGAACUGUUUAUCGCUAAGCUGUUUAGACUUUAUCAGCUAUCUGUUUAGUUUUGAGCUUUUCUUUAAUGCACUUUUCAGUUAACAAGUCAACAUCAAUCUCUUUUGCUGUAAGAAAAGCUUGAGGAAGGUGGCUUGAGAUUCGUCUUAAGUGUUUAUAGCCUCUUGCCUAUGCAGUCGGAGAGAUUGAGGUCUGCAGCGUAGAUCCUUCGGGGCUAAAUGCAUUUGUGCUAAGUUAUAGCAUUUCAUAGACAACUUGUUGACUAUGAUUUGUCUUGUAGCUUACUCGCUUAUGUUAUUUUACCUACGCUUAGGAUGUUGAUCUACAGAGCGAGAGU